UCACACCUCAAGCUCUAAGCUUGUUUUGAGCCAAUCUUUUGUUCUUUUGAUGAACAGGCUUGAAAUGCAAGUGGCGAUAUUCAGUUUGGUGCCCGGCAUUAUAGGGCUCUGUCACAUGCUUUAGUGGCCCAGAUUGGUAUAUAUUCGGCCUUUUUAAUAAUCACAUUUUAAAAGA
rnacentral:misc_RNA from 1 species